rnacentral:rRNA from 1 species
UACUCCUACGGGGGGCAGCAGUGGGGAAUAUUGGGCAAUGGAGGAAACUCUGACCCAGCAAUGCCGCGUGAAUGAAGAAGGUCUUCGGAUUGUAAAGUUCUUUAGUCAGGGAAGAAGUCAAUGACGGUACCUGAAGAAUAAGCUCCGGCUAACUACGUGCCAGCAGCCGCGGUAAUACAUAGGGAGCAAGCGUUAUCCGGAAUUAUUGGGUGUAAAGGGUGCGUAGACGGGAAAUUAAGUUAGUUGUGAAAUCCCUUGGCUUAACUGAGGAACUGCAACUAAAACUGAUUUUCUUGAGUACUGGA